rnacentral:tRNA from 1 species
GGGGUUGUGGCUCAGCGGUAGAGCUCCUGUCUAGCAAGCUCGAGGCCCUGGGUUCAAUCCUCAGCACCA